rnacentral:sRNA from 1 species
GAUCGUUCCAGCCCAGGAGUUUGUGACCAGCCUGGUCAACAUGAGACCCCUGUCCCUACUUUUAAAAAUUAAAAAAAAAAAAAAAAAAAGAUAUUUUAGGCAGAGAGAAGUGGCUGUGCAAAGGUGGGUGUUUGCUGAGUUUGUUCAAGGAGCAGAAAGGAGGCUGCGAGGCUGCAAGGGUGUGAGGGGCAGAGGGCCUGGGGAGUUUGUGUUUGUCUGAGGGGGAUGGGAAAGGGGGUGUUACUUGGGCUGUGAAAAAAGCUCUUCCUUGCUGUCUGGUGAGAGUAGAGGUGGGAGGCCUCCAGGCCAAGGCAGGUGUGUGUGGCCCCAAGGCAGGUGUGUGCGGCCCCAAGGCAGGUGUGUGCGGCCCCAAGGCAGGUGUGUGGGGCCCCAAGGCCCAGCGGGUGAGACAACCUCACAGCUCCCAGGCUUUUCUUCCCCACCAGCCUCCCUGCCCUUUGCUAUCCUGACGCUGGUGAACGCCCCGUACAAGCGAGGAUUUUACUGUGGGGAUGACUCCAUCCGGUACCCCUACCGUCCAGAUACCAUCACCCACGGGCUCAUGGCUGGGGUCACUACGACGGCCACCAUCGUCCUUGUAAGGCAGGAGGGGCUCAGAGGGACUGGGUAGGGGUAUGGGGUGGGGCACAGCUUUACCCUGGGGGCCUGAUGGGGGGUGGCACAGCCCUGUCCUGGAGGUCUGUGUGGGGCUGGGGGACACAGCCUUGCCCUGAGUGGUACCUGUGGGUAAUAGGGCCCCCUUUAGAGUCCCCAGCUCUCCAGCAGCCUUGAGAAGGCCCGUGGGGAGGAGUGAGGGCCCCUGGACUGACUGAGACUCCCACUGGUUCCCGCGGCUGCCCCACUUGCAGGUCUCGGCCGGGGAAGCCUACCUGGUGUACACAGACCGGCUCUAUUCUCGCUCUGACUUCAACAACUAUGUGGCUGCUGUAUACAAGGUGCUGGGGACCUUCCUGUUCGGGGCUGCUGUGAGCCAGUCUCUGACAGACCUGGCCAAGUACAUGAUUGGGCGUCUGAGGCCCAACUUCCUAGCCGUCUGCGACCCCGACUGGAGCCGGAUCAACUGCUCGGUCUAUGUGCAGCUGGAGAAAGUGUGCAGGGGAAACCCUGCCGACGUCACCGAGGCCAGGUGGGUGUGGACCAGCAGCCUUCACUCGUGGGGGGAAUGGGAGCUGAAGAAGGCCCAGGAGCCAAAUCAUGAAGAGCCAGCAGGCAGUACAGGCGUGCACCACCACGCCCGGCUAAUUUUUGUAUAAGUUAGUGCAUUCUUGGAUGUUUUUGAAGUUCAUCCAUGUUGUAACAUUCUGUCAGUUUUUGCUUUAAGUAUUUUGGGGUUCUGUGGUUUAGUACAUUUACCUUUGUAAUUGUUACAUAUUUUUGAAAGAUUGACCAUUUCAUCAUCAUAGAAUGAGAUAUAUGGGUUUUGUCUCAAUUUUUGUCUUGAUGUCUGUUUUGUCUGAUAUUAAUAUAGCUAUUCUGGUUCUCUUUUUGUUACUGUUUGCAUGGAAUUUUUUUUUUCCAUUCUUGGACUUUCAACCUGUUUAUGUCUCUGACUCUAAAGUAAGUGUCUUAUACCUAGCAUAUUGGGCCAUGUUUUUUAAUGUAUUGUCCAAUCUCUGAUUUUUUUUGAGACAGAGGCUCACUCUGUCACCCAGGCUGGAGUGCAAUGAUCUGAGCUCACUGCAGCCUCAGACUCCUAGGCUCAAGCCAUCUUCCCACCUGGGCCUCCCGAGUAGCUAGGUCUACAGGCAUGUGCCACCAGAUCCAGCUACUGUUUAUCUUUUUUUUUGGUAGAAAUGGGGUUUUGCCAUGUUGCCCAGUCUGGUCUUGAACUCCUGAGCUCAAGCAAACUGCCCACUUUGGCCUCCUAAAGUGCUGGGAUUACAGGUGUAUGCCACCACACCCAGCCAGAUCUCUGACUUUUUUUAAUGUUUUUUUCAUUAUAUAUUAAUCUUUUUAUUGAAUUAAGGCAUUUAAUGAAACUUUGACUUUUAAUUGGAGUGUUUAUUUAUAUUCAAUGUAAUUACUGAUAAGGAAGGAUCUCUGUCGUUUUGUUGAGGUUUGCUUAGGUUAUAUCUUCUUUUUUCAAUUCCUCAUUACUGUCUUUUUUGUUUGUUUGUUUUGCUUUUAAUUUUUUUUUUCUUUUAGAGUUGGGGGUCUUGCUAUCUUGCCCAGGACUUGAAUUCCUGGGCUCAAACCAUCCUCCCGCCUCUGCCUUCCAAGUAGCUGGGACUACAGGCAUACACCACCACAGCCGGCUGGUUUUUAAAUUUUUUUGUAGAAAUAGGGUCUCACCAUGUUGCCCAGGCUGGUCUCGAAUGCCUGGGCUCAAGCAAUCGUCUUGCCUCAGCCUCCCCAGUAGCUGGGAUUAUAGGUGUGCACCACCACGCCUGGCUAAUUUUUGUAUUUUCAUUUAUUUUUAUUAAUUUUAUUUUUUGAGACAGAAUCUUGUUCUGUCACCCAGGCUGGAGUGCAGUGUGCAGUGGUGUGAUCUUGGCUCACUGCAACCUCUGCCUCCUGGGUUCAAGAGAUUCUCCUACUUCAGAUUCCUGAGUAGCUAGGACUACAGGUGUGCACCACCACGCCCGAGUAACUUUUUGUAUUUUUAGUAGAGAUGGGGUUUCAUCAUGUUGGCCAGGCUGGUCUCGAACUCCUGAUCUCAGGUGAUCCACCCACCCUGGCCUCCCAAAGUGCUGGGAUUACAGGCGUGAGCCACUGUGCCCGGCCAGGCUGAAUAAUCUUUUUUUUUUUUCUUUUUUUCAGCCAGGCUGAAUAAUCUUUUUUUUUUUCUUUCCUUUUUUUUUUUUUUUUUUUUUUUUUUUUUUUUGAGAAAGAGUCUUGCUGUGUCGCCCAGGCUGGAGUGCAGUGGCGUGAUCUCAUCUCACUACAGCCUCUGCCUCCUGGGUUUAAGCAAUUCUCCUGCCUCAGCCUCCUGAGUAGCAGGCGUGAGCCACCGCACCUGGCCCCAGCCGACUAAUCUUUUUUUUUUCUUUGAGACGAAGUCUCGCUCUUGUCCCCCAGGCUGGAGAGCAGUGGCACGAUCUCAGCUCACUGUAACCUCUACCUCCCGGGUUCAAGAGAUUCUCUGCCUCAGCCUCCCGAGUAACUGGGAUUACAAGUGCGUACCACUAUGCCCAGCUAAUUUUUUGUAUUUUAAGUAGAGACGGGGUUUCACCAUGUUGGCUAGGCUGGUCUCGAACUCCUGACCUCAGGUAAUCCACCCGCCUCGGCCUCCCAAAGUGCUGGGAUUAUAGGCUGAGCCACCGUGCCCGGCCAAAUAAUCUUAAUUGACCUAUUUUCUUUCUUUCCUUUUUUUUUUUUUUUUUUUUGUUAAUUGACCUAUUUUCUUUGUUUUUUUUGAGUUGGAGUCUUGCUCUGUCGCCCAGGCUGGAGUGCAGUGGCACAAUCUCAGCUCACUGCAACCUCUGCCUCCUGGGUUCAAGCAAUUCUCCUGCCUCAGCCUCACGAGUAGCUGGGAUUACAGACGUGUGCCACUGCGCCAAGCUAAUUUUUGUAUUUUUAGUAGAGACGGGGUUUUGCCAUGUUGGCCAGGCUGGUCGCGAACUCCUGACCUCGUGAUCUGCCCGUCUCAGCCUCCAAAGUGCUGGGAUUACAGGAGUGAGCCACCGCACCCCCGACCUGUUUUGUUUUGUUUUAAACUGGGUGUUUAGAAUAUUAUAAUAUAGCAACUCUGGAAAUAUGAUCCUACGCCCUCCCCCGGGUUUGUUCUUGCUGUUUGUUGCAGUAGUUAUUUGUUUAAUGACUUUUCUGGUUGUAAAGUCUGUAUUUUUUGUCACGUGUGGCCGUUUCUUCCUAUUCUUUUAGCCCAGUGGUCAGUGAUAGGACAGAGAUUUCCUUAAACAUCUGGAAUCAAAAAAACCCAUAAAACCCUCCCAGAGUUUGUACAAGGGUCUGUGUGCAUGUGGGGUCAGCCCUUCCACGGUUAAACACAUUUUCAACUCUGCCUUAGCUUUUGCUUCCUGUGUGUGCAGAGCCUGAAGGCGGCCAGACGUGAGAGCUUAGCUUCGGGCCCUCUCGGGCCUCUCCUGAGCUCCUGCACAGCUCUGUCUGCGUUCCAGGCCCUCAUCGCCCGGAGCAUUUUAUUCCCUGGCGUUUCCCCCUGCUCUGUUUGGUUAGUCUGUUGUUUGCCUCAUCUGCUGUCUGUGGCCCCAGGCAGCAGAGAAUAAUAAAUUUGUUGUGAAUGUUUCCUACAAAUGUCCCCCAGGUAGCACCUCAGCACUGGGAAGAAUGUCCAGUCAGGUGAGAUCAAGGCCAGCCCUUCAGCCAUACUCCCGUCCACAGUUGCAAAUAGUUUGUUCUUGGAAUCCUCAGGCCACCACCAGUCUAGGCAGUGGGAGAUGGACCAGGAUGAGUUAAAAUGCCACAAGGCUGUUUGUUCUGAGAUUUAGCUGGUUUAUCUUGAUCAAGUCUUCUGGUGGCUGCAAGCUUUUGAUUAGUUCCAAAGAAGUUGAUUGUGACUUUUUUGCCAUUUUAAAAAAUUGCUUUUGAAGUUUCUUGCUCUGCUAUUUUCUGUCUUUCUUGAUGUCCUUCACUGAAUCUUGAAUUUAUAUAAAAAUAAGUCUUCCCUCAGUUCCGCAGAUGGGAGAAAAUCCUGAAAAGAAACACGGUGAAAACGAAACUGUGGUGUUGCCUGCUUGCCGGACACAAUUGUCUGCCCUGGGUUUUGGGUUCAGGCCUCAGAGUCUUAACGGAUGAGGCAUCUCAUGCCACAGCCCCAAUCAGAGACUCUUAUUCCAUUAUCAGAUAACUGGAACAGAAAAGGGGAACAGUUUCUGCUACUGGGAUUUGACUGCAUCUAACAGCAGCAGCCUCCGUGUUGAACCCUCCCUUCUGUGGGCGGGGCGGGGACAAGCGGGAGUUAGGAAGACGCUGAGUGAGCCACCUGCUCCUUCUCCUUCCUCAGGUUGUCUUUCUACUCGGGACACUCUUCCUUUGGGAUGUACUGCAUGGUGUUCUUGGCGCUGUAUGUGCAGGCACGGCUCUGUUGGAAGUGGGCACGGCUGCUGCGACCCACAGUCCAGUUCUUCCUGGUGGCCUUUGCCCUCUACGUGGGCUACACCCGCGUGUCUGAUUACAAACACCACUGGAGCGAUGUCCUUGUUGGCCUCCUGCAGGGGGCACUGGUGGCUGCCCUCACU